rnacentral:rRNA from 1 species
CAGAGGGUGCGAGCGUUAAUCGGAAUUACUGGGCGUAAAGCGCGCGUAGGCGGCUUUGCAAGUCGGGUGUGAAAUCCCCAGGCUUAACCUGGGAACUGCAUUCGAGACUGCAUUGCUAGAGUAUGGGAGAGGGAAGUGGAAUUUCCGGUGUAGCGGUGAAAUGCGUAGAUAUCGGAAGGAACAUCAGUGGCGAAAGCGACUUUCUGGACCAAUACUGACGCUCAUGUGCGAAAGCGUGGGGAGCAAACAGGAUUAGAUACCCUGGUAGUCCACGCCAUAAACGAUGACAACUGGAUGUCGGGAGGGUCUGCCUCCCGGUGUCGUAGCUAACGCGUUAAGUUGUCCGCCUGGGGAGUACGGCCGCAAGGUUG